rnacentral:rRNA from 1 species
UACGGGGGGGGCAAGCGUUGUUCGGAUUCACUGGGCGUAAAGGGUGCGUAGGCGGUCGGGUAAGUCUGACGUGAAAUCUUCGAGCCUAACUCGGAAACUGCGUCGGAUACUAUUCGGCUAGAGGAAUGGAGGGGAGACUGGAAUACUUGGUGUAGCAGUGAAAUGCGUAGAUAUCAAGUGGAACACCAGUGGCGAAGGCGAGUCUCUGGACAUUUCCUGACGCUGAGGCACGAAAGCCAGGGGAGCAAACGGG